GAUCGAGGAGAAGGAUUUUGGAAGAAGAAGGCAAUUCGAGAGAGGCCUUGAUUAUUUGUGGUUGCAGGGCAUCUGCUUCUGUUUGUCUCGAGGCAUGUGGAAACUGUAUUUUGGUACUGUUGUGUAUUGCUUUUACUAAGCUCCUUCAUUAAGCUCUCCCCUUGUUCAGUGGGUAUUGUAAGGCAGAGGAUAUGCUGGCAGCUAGCAGGUUCUUUAUGGAGAUGAUGGAUUGCGGUGUAGUACCAAAUGGUGUCAUCUGCAUGACUCUUAUUGAUGGUCAUUGUAAAGGUGGUGACGUUGGAGAAGCAUUCACAAUUGUUAAGGUCAUGCUCGAGAGGCAGGUGCUGCCGGAUGUACAUAUUCACGGACUGUUGAUCUAAGGACUUUCAAAGAAUGGGAAACUAAAAGAAGCAAUGGAAAUUUUUUUCUUAACUCCAGGAAAAGGGCGUAGUGGCUCAUAUUUUUAUUUACAAUUCUGUUAUUUCUUGUUUGUCUAAACUGGGUAAACUAGCAGACGCUUUUCAACUCCUCGAGGAGAUGGGUUCCUAACGUUGUCACUUACGAUGCUUUGAUUAAUGGUCUUUGUAAGUUAGGAGAUGUUAUUGGAGCUAGGAAGCUGUUUGAUGGAAUUUCAGCCAGAGGCUUGGCUCCUAAUAGAGUGACCUAUCCUACAAUCAUAGAUGGACACUGUAAAUCUGGCAAUUUAAGUGAGGCGUUCCAUUUGUUUGAUGAGAUGUUAUCAAUGGCAGUUCAACCUGACAGCUUUGUUUA